rnacentral:rRNA from 1 species
UACGUAGGUGGCAAGCGUUAUCCGGAUUUACUGGGUGUAAAGGGCGUGUAGGCGGGGGCGCAAGUCAGAUGUGAAAACCACGGGCUCAACCUGUGGCCUGCAUUUGAAACUGUGUUUCUUGAGUACUGGAGAGGCAGACGGAAUUCCUAGUGUAGCGGUGAAAUGCGUAGAUAUUAGGAGGAACACCAGUGGCGAAGGCGGUCUGCUGGACAGCAACUGACGCUGAGGCGCGAAAGCGUGGGGAGCAAACAGG